UGUCGAUGGGUCAAUAAAUAU
rnacentral:piRNA from 1 species